rnacentral:rRNA from 1 species
UACGGAGGGUGCAAGCGUUGUCCGGAUUUAUUGGGUUUAAAGGGUGCGUAGGCGGCCCUGUAAGUCAGUGGUGAAAUACUGCAGCUUAACUGUAGCAUUGCCAUUGAUACUGUAGGGCUUGAGUACAGAUGAGGUAGGCGGAAUUGAUGGUGUAGCGGUGAAAUGCAUAGAUACCAUCAAGAACACCGAUUGCGAAGGCAGCUUACUAAGCUGUAACUGACGCUGAGGCACGAAAGCGUAGGGAUCGAACAGG